CCUACGGGAGGCAGCAGUGGGGAAUAUUGGUCAAUGGACGGAAGUCUGACCCAGCAAAGCCGCGUGAGUGAAGAAGUUUUUCGGGAUGUAAAACCCUAUCAGCAGGGGAGCGAAUGACGGUACCUGACUAAGAAGCCCCGGCUAACUACGUACCAGCAUCCGCGGUCACACGGCGGGGGAGAGCGUUAUCAGGAUUUACUCGGGGGCAAGGGGGCGUAGACGGUUCUGCAAGUCUGAAGUGAAAACCCGUGGCUUAACCGCGGAACGGCUGUGGAAACUGGGGAACUGGAGUGCGGGAGAGGCAAGCGGAAUGCGUGGUGUAGCGGUGAAAUGCGUAGAUAUUAGGAGGAACACCAGUUGCGAAGGCGGCUUGCUGGACCGUAACUGACGUUGAGGCUCGAAAGCGUGGGGAGCGAACAGGAUUAGAUACCCGAGUAGUC
rnacentral:rRNA from 1 species